UGAUUGGCGGGAUCCCUC
rnacentral:snRNA from 1 species